rnacentral:rRNA from 1 species
CCAAUAGCGUAUAUUAACGUUGUUGCAGUUAAAAAGCUCGUAGUUGAACUUCGGGGUCUACCCAUUGGUCAGGCUUAAUUGUCUGCACUGGUGAGAUGGAUCUCUACCUUCUGAGGAACUUUCAUGCCAUUUAUUUGGUGUGAUUGGAAAUCAGGACUGUUACUUUGAAAAAAUUAGAGUGUUUAAAGCAGACUAUCGUCUGAAUACAUUAGCAUGGAAUAAUGAAAUAGGACGGACUGAUUCUAUUUCGUUGGUUUCUAGGAUCACCGUAAUGAUUAAUAGGGAUAGUUGGGGGCAUUAGUAUUCAAUUGUCAGAGGUGAAAUUCUUGGAUUUAUUGAAGACUAACUACUGCGAAAGCAUUUGCCAAGGAUGUUUUCAUUAAUCAAGAACGAAAGUUAGGGGAUCGAAGACGAUCAGAUACCGUCGUAGUCUUAACCAUAAACUAUGCCGACUAGGGAUCGGACGAAGUUAAUUUUAUAAUGACGCGUUCGGCACCUUACG